rnacentral:rRNA from 1 species
ACGGGUGCGUAACGCGUGGGAAUCUGCCCUUGGGUUCGGAAUAACAGUUAGAAAUGACUGCUAAUACCGGAUGAUGUCUUCGGACCAAAGAUUUAUCGCCCAAGGAUGAGCCCGCGUAAGAUUAGCUAGUUGGUGGGGUAAUGGCCCACCAAGGCGACGAUCUUUAGCUGGUCUGAGAGGAUGAUCAGCCACACUGGGACUGAGACACGGCCCAGACUCCUACGGGAGGCAGCAGUGGGGAAUAUUGGACAAUGGGCGAAAGCCUGAUCCAGCAAUGCCGCGUGAGUGAUGAAGGCCUUAGGGUUGUAAAGCUCUUUUACCAGGGAUGAUAAUGACUGUACCUGGAGAAUAAGCUCCGGCUAACUCCGUGCCAGCAGCCGCGGUAAUACGGAGGGAGCUAGCGUUGUUCGGAAUUACUGGGCGUAAAGCGUACGUAGGCGGUUAUUCAAGUCAGAGGUGAAAGCCCGGGGCUCAACCCCGGAACGGCCUUUGAAACUAGAUAGCUAGAGUCUUGGAGAGGUUAGUGGAAUUCCGAGUGUAGAGGUGAAAUUCGUAGA